rnacentral:rRNA from 1 species
AUUGAACGCUGGCGGCAGGCCUAACACAUGCAAGUCGAACGAGUGGCGGACGGGUGAGUACUGUCUGGGAAACUGCCCGAUGGAGGGGGAUAACUACUGGAAACGGUAGCUAAUAACGCAUACCAUCGGAUGUGCCCAGAUGGGAUUAGCUAGUGGGUGGGGUAACGGCCCACCUAGGCGACGAUUCCUAGCAGGUCUGGGAGGAUGACCAGGCACAUUUGGACUGAGGAACGGGCCAAACCGCUACGGGAGGCAGCAGUGGGGAAAUUUUCGCAAAGGGCGAAAGUCUUGCGAAGGAAAUACGGGGGAGUGAUGGAGGGCUUCGGGUUGUAAAGUCUUUUAAGCUGGACGACGUUACCGGCAUAGAAAGCCACGGCUAACUACGUGCCAGCAGCCGCGGUAAUAC